AGCUAACCUCGUCUAGUCCCAGAUAUCAGGCGCAUUGCCUUGCUCGUUCCGUGGUCAGAGAGAUGUCCUCGAGGAAGAGGCUGGAAGUACCCAACUGUUACGUCAUGUCAUGUGUCCCUUCGGAUCCCUCGGUGAUGUACCAGUACCCGUGUGAUAGGUUGGGGAAACCCCCAUAGACUACGGGGCAAUUACACUACACCUACAAUCUAAUUUUUGGUGUAAUUUUCAGACUUUUAUAUAAAUCUAUGUAUACAUAUUAUAUGUAUAUCAUGUAUAUGAAUCUGUCUUCGAGUUGUCAUUU
rnacentral:lncRNA from 1 species